GGCCUUACCUGGCAGGGGUGAGGCCGUGAUCAAAAAGGGGGUUCAUUUAGGGCAAGGAUCAGCCCUUGCACUCCAGAUUGUGCUGACCCCUGCGAAUUCCUAAAUGUGGGAAUUUCGACUGAAUAAUUUGUAAUGGGGGGUUGGCUGUGUUCGCUCUCUCCCU